rnacentral:rRNA from 1 species
GUGAGGAAUAUUGGUCAAUGGGCGGGAGCCUGAACCAGCCAAGUCGCGUGAAGGAAGAAGGAUCUAUGGUUCGUAAACUUCUUUUGCAGGGGAAUAAAGUGCGGGACGUGUCCUGUUUUGUAUGUACCCUGAGAAUAAGGAUCGGCUAACUCCGUGCCAGCAGCCGCGGUAAUACGGAGGAUCCGAGCGUUAUCCGGAUUUAUUGGGUUUAAAGGGUGCGUAGGUGGUUUGAUAAGUCAGCGGUGAAAGUUUGCAGCUUAACUGUAAAAAUGCCGUUGAAACUGUCGGACUUGAGUGUAAAUGAGGUAGGCGGAAUGCGUGGUGUAGCGGUGAAAUGCAUAGAUAUCACGCAGAACUCCGAUUGCGAAGGCAGCUUACUAAGCUACAACUGACACUGAAGCACGAAAGCGUGGGUAUCAAACAGGAUUAGAUACCCCUGUAGUCC